UACGGAGGGUGCAAACGUUGCUCGGAAUCAUUGGGCGUAAAGCGCACGUAGGCGGCCUGUUAAGUCGGGUGUGAAAUCCCUGGGCUCAACCCAGGAAGUGCACUCGAAACUGGCAGGCUUGAGUACUGAAGAGGGUCGCGGAAUUCCCGGUGUAGAGGUGAAAUUCGUAGAUAUCGGGAGGAACACCAGUGGCGAAGGCGGCGACCUGGGCAGAUACUGACGCUGAGGCACGAAAGCGUGGGGAGCAAACAGG
rnacentral:rRNA from 1 species